CGCGGCUCGGCGAGGCCAGGGGCGGCAACGGUCCCCGGAGCACCCGGGCGUGGCCCGCCCCCCUAACCGCGGCCCGCUCGCCUCCCGUCUGCCCCCUGCAGGCCGGCUGGCGGGGCUGCGCGCCGGCGGGGCGGACCUGGAGCGCGGAGCCCGAGAGCGGGGCGCGGCCUCGCCGCGAGACCCCGGGCCAUGGCGCGGGUGCUCAUCGUGGGCGCCGGGCUGACGGGAAGCCUGUGCGCAGCGCUGCUCAGGAAGGAGGCGCCCCGUCCUGUGCACCUCGCGGUGUGGGACGAGGCUGGGGACUCAGGUGUGUCGUCGGGCGGUCGAAACCGGGAAAAGGAAGCCGGCGCCUGCGGGCGGCCCACCCCGGGAGGGGGAAGAAUGACUACAGCCAGGAGUCCCUACAAUCCACAGAGCACAGUUGACUUGGGUGCCCAGUACAUCACCUGCACACCUCAUUAUGCCAAACAACACCAAAGUUUUUAUGAUGACCUGUUAGCUCUUGGCAUUUUGAAGCCUCUGACCUCUCCUAUUGAAGGGAUGGUGAUGAAAGAAGGAGACUGUAACUUUGUGGCACCUCAAGGAGUUUCUUCGAUUAUUAAGCAUUACUUGAAAGAAUCAGGUGCUGAUGUCUACUUCAGACACUGUGUGACCCAGAUCAACCUGCGAAAUGACAAGUGGGAGGUCUCCAAGGAAACAGGUCCCCCCGAGCUGUUUGACAUUGUUGUCCUCACAAUGCCAGUUCCUCAGAUUCUGCAGCUUCAAGGUGACAUCGCAAACUUAAUUAGCAAAUGCCAAAGGCAGCAACUGGAGUCUGUGAGCUACUCCUCUCGCUACGCUCUGGGCCUCUUUUAUGAAGCUGGCACGAAGAUUGAUGUCCCUUGGGCUGGGCAGUACAUCACCAGUAAUCCCUGCAUACGCUUCAUCUCCAUUGAUAAUAAGAAACGCAAUAUAGAGUCAUCCGAAAUCGGGCCUUCCCUUGUGGUUCACACCACUGUCCCGUUUGGAGUCACCCACUUGGAGUACAGCACCGAGGAUGUGCAGGAGCUAAUCUUCCAGAAUCUGGAAGGCAUCUUGCCAGGCCUGCCUCGACCAGUUGCGACCAAAUGCCGGAAAUGGAGACAUUCUCAGGUUGGUUGAGCAUCUAGGAUUAGAACCGGUGAGACCUCAUCUUGCUGUGCCCACAUGGAUGUCCCUUAGUGCCACAUUUCGGAAAGGUUGGUUUUAAGGAACCAAAUCAUGGGCUGGACAGCUAACUAGAAUGGAUCAACCUAAAAUAUGGCCGUGCUUGAGGCCACACAGCAAGAUUGUUGUGUUUGGGUAGAUGCCUGAGCUUCCGCCGUCAGCUGAGGUGCGGAAGGAAGAAUGCAUGUCACCAAGUGUAUCGCUGGAUUAUUUUUUGCUAAUUAGCACCUUCAUGUUGUUGACAAUCCCCAUUUUGAAGUCGCUGUUAGCCUUCUGGUCUGCUCCUCUCUCUUGUCAUCUUCAAUUUCAUUCACACCAGAGGGACUCCUUGUGUGUAUGUUUACAGCUAAUAAUCACGACACAAAGAACCCAUUAGGUUAAGCCAUGUGAAGAUGGACAAUAUUUCACAUCUGUGGCCUGCAGAGUCAGCAGCUUUGUGUGGUUCUGCUUCAUAUAUGACACAUGAGAUGUUCACAUGAAACAGUUCACAUGACGAGAGGACAGCCCUGAAUUUGUCACUAUUGAGAGCGUCCUAAAUACAGUAUCUCUUCCAUUUGAGCUUCUGCCAGCUCAGUGGGUGCCUCUGAAUAACACUUUUUGUGUAGAUGGUUCCCUUUGAAGACCUUCAUUUGAUCAAUUGCGUGUACAAUAUUGUCUUUUUUUUUUUUUUUAACUCAAUAAACGUUCAUUGCACACGUAAUAGAGGCUAGGCACCAUCCCCAGCCUUGGAUACAAGGACUGGUGCGGCCCAGCACCUGCUCUUCGAGGCAUGCAGUCUAGGAAGGGAGACAAAUCUGGACGUAAUUACAGUGCAAAACAGCAAGUAACAUCACAGAUAAAAUGACUCGCUGUAAAGGCUCUUGCCCUGCCCGGCAGAGCACGAAGACCUCAGUGCAGGUGACGUUUGUGCUGCUUCUAGAAGGGCAGCGAAGAGGGGGGAAUGGUACACCAUCACCCCGCAGGACGGCUGGUUCAAAGUCACAGAAACACGACAAAGAAGAGCGUGUUUGAAGCACGCUUCAAGGUGAGUCACCUAAACGCCGUGAGAUUGAUUUCCUCCCCAAACUGCAGACUUGGCCAAUCAGCAGCCCAGUCUUCCAGCCACGUGACCUCGCAUCUGGCCCGUACCAGUCAUCAAACGGAAUGACACGGCACCGACAAACUGCCAGCUCACCCUGGGCAGAACGUUCUCCCACCAGCUCCCUCCUGCUUAAUACCUGUUAAUGUGCAGUAGUGAUGCUUUAUCUGUACCGGGAUGUCAGCUGAAAUGUGUCAGAACUUUACCGCACAUGGAGAUUGGUGUGUGCAGGUUACAAAUGCUGCCAUCAACUCCUAUGGCCAGUUGACUCUUCAUCUCAAACCUUUCCUUGUGUGUGGAGGGGAUGCGUUCACCCAGUCCAACUUCGAUGGCUGCAUCACUUCUGCCCGGUGUGUUCUAGAAGCU